AAAGUUUUGGUGCUUUUGUUGUGCUAAGUUCUCCUUCACUGAGUUUUUACAAAGAUGGAUGGUGAUUUUUUUUUGGAAAAGGGUGUAGCUUUCUGGCUGGAGUAUUACGGCAGAUGAAAGUUGU